GAAGGCUGAAAUUCGCCUUCAUGAAGCCGGAAUUGCUAGUAAUGGCAGGUCAGCAUACUGCCGUGAAUACGUUCCCGGGCCUUGUACACACCGCCCGUCACACCAUGAGAGUUGGGAAUACCCGAAGCCUGUGAGCUAACAUUUAUGAGGCAGCAGUCGAAGGUAGAAUCAAUGAUUGGGGUGAAGUCGUAACAAGGUAUC
rnacentral:rRNA from 1 species